rnacentral:tmRNA from 1 species
GGGGGCGCAAAGGCUUCGACGUGGGCACGGAAGCGGAUGUGGCGUGUCGGAGGUGUUCUGGUGACUCCGUAAUAACCACUAGGAAUGCUAUAAUUGCCAACGAUAACGUUGAGCUUGCUCUGGCUGCAUAAAGUAGCACGAGCGGCAGAUGGUUCCUUGCGAACCCCGUCAUAUUGAGCUUUGCCUAUGGGCUUUCUAUGGCGACACACAGUAGGCUUGGCUUGAGGCCCUUCGUACUUCGACCUCCGGCGACAUUAAGAAGAGCACUCUCCAAUCGUGGCCUGUCCGUGGACAGCGAGGAAGGGAGUCUAAACACUAAUCACGGUCUACACACGUAGAAGCGUUCAGCGGAAGGUUUGCGGACGCGGGUUCGAUUCCCGCCGCCUCCAUCC